CGAUUAGGUUGUUGGUGGGGUAAUGGCCCACCAAGCCUACGAUCGGUACGGGCAGUGGGAGCUGAAGCCCGGAGUUGGGGACUGAGACAAGGCCCCAGGCCCUACGGGGCGCAGCAGGCGCGAAACCUCUGCAAUGCGGGAAACCGUGACAGGGGGAUCCCAAGUGCUCAUGCAUUGCAUGGGCUGUUCUUUGGUCUAAGUAACCAGAGGAGUAAGGGCUGGGCAAGACCGGUGCCAGCCGCCGCGGUAAUACCGGCAGCUCAAGUGGUAGCCGCGAUUAUUGGGCCUAAAACGUUCGUGGCCGGAUAAGUAAGUCUUUGGUUAAAUCCUGCGACUUAACCGUGGGAAAUCUAGAGAUACUGCUUGUCUUGAGACCGGGAGAGGUUGGAGGUACUCCCAGGGUAGGGGUGAAAUCCUGUAAUCCUGGGGGGACCACCUGUGGCGAAGGCGUCCAACUGGAACGGGUCUGACGGUGAGGGACGAAACCUAGGGGAGCGAGCCGGAUUAGAUACCCGGGUAGUCCUAGGCGUAAAUGAUGCGAGUUAAGUGUGGGGGCAUCCACGAGAUGGCCCUGUGCUGUAGGGUAGCCGUUAAACUCGCUGCCUGGGGAGUACGGUCGCAAGGCUGAAACUUAAAGGAAUUGGCGGGGGAGCACCACAAGGGGUGAAGCUUGCGGUUUAAUUGGAUUCAACGCCGGA
rnacentral:rRNA from 1 species